UUUUUGAUUAAUAAUUUAAAGUCUAAUCUGCCCACUGAUAAUUUAUUAAAGGGCUGCAGUAUUUUGACUGUACAAAGGUAGCAUAAUCAAUAGUCUCUUAAUUGGUGACUUGUAUGAAAGAUUUAAUGAGAUAUAUACUGUCUCUUUUUAAUUUAUAAAAUUUAAUUUUUUAGUUAAAAAGCUAAAAUAAAUUUAAAAGACGAGAAGACCCUAUAGAGUUUUAUAUUUAAAUAAAUUGAAAUUAUUUAUAAAAUUUAAAAUUUUAAUUUAUAAUAAAUAUUUUAUUGGGGUGAUAAAAAAAUUAAAAGAACUUUUUUUAUAAAUUUACAUUAAUAAAUGAAUAAAGGAUCCGUAAUUUACGAUUAAAAGAAAAAAUUACCUUAGGGAUAACAGCGUAAUUUUUUUUUUUAGUUCAAAUAAGAAAAAAAGUUUGCGACCUCGAUGUUGGAUUAAGAUAAAAUUUAAAUGCAAAAGUUUAAAAUUUUUGAUCUGUUCGAUCAUUAAAAUCUUACA
rnacentral:rRNA from 1 species